rnacentral:lncRNA from 1 species
CACGCCGGUCCCGCCUUCGGUCCCACAAUUUCCUCCCUACUGAAUUCUUCAGAGGAACUCAGUUAAGCCUCCUUAUUUGCAUAAAGUUAAUACUUGUUAUUCUGGGGUUUUUCUUUUUUUUUUUCUUGAGACUAAGUCUCGCUCUAUCACUCAGGCUGGAGAGCAGUGAUUCGAUCUCGGCUGACUACAGUCUCUACCUCCCGGGCUGAAACGAUCCUCCCACCUCAGCCUCCCUUCCCCGACUAACACCACCACACCUGUUUUGCAAAGACGGGGAUUAGCUGCCCAGGCUGGUGUCGAACUCCUUAGCUCAAGCGAUCUUCCCACCUCAGCUUCCCAAAGUGCUGGGAUUACAGGCGUGAGCCACCGUGCCCGGCACUUUAAACCUUGGAAAUAGGUCUCGGUUUUUGGAAAACUGAGUUGUGGGAGGAGGAAAAAGGACAGAGGCAAGCAAUAGUGAAUAAGAAAGUACCGCUUCUUCAGAGUGAAUUGUUUAUUGAAUAAUAAGCUGAGAAAAGAGGUGGUAAAGAGAGGAAAAAUAGGGCUGAACAUAGACGCUCACGCCUGUUAUCCCAGCACUUCGGGAGGCCGAGGCGGGCAGAUCACGAGGU